rnacentral:lncRNA from 1 species
AAAUAAUAACAUAAGUGACUAAAACGUAACAUUUUAAACAUAAGUGACUAAAACGUAACAUUUUAAACAUAAGUGACUAAAAUGUAACUUGAGGCAAACAAAAGUGACUAUUUUUGCAGAUUACCCUUAUUUAAUAUGUUGACUUUUAAACAUUAUAUAAAAUGACAAUAUCUAAGCGUCUUUUAGGCUGCCAUGGAAGAUAUUGUUCAGCCACCCAUGCUCAGCAACUGAUGUGAUUUACUUACCCUCAUAACAUGUAAUGUUUUUAUAUUGUUUCAUUACUGGAUCUUGGAAUAUUUACUGUCUUCCCAGAAAUACAGCUUCAUCUCAAACAAUCAAUCCACCCUCCAAAGCUCAUCCAUCACGGCCAGCACCUACAAGACGACCAUCACUUGCAAGGAAUACGUCAUCGGGUAAAUGAAGAGGUAGAGAAAGAAGCAUGCAUAAACAUUUUUGGAGUUGGAUAGAGAAAACAGGAAAGCAAAUCCUAAAUGUUAUCUUUCAAUGUCAGAACUGUUUGUUCAUUUUUGUGCUUGGGAAACUGUGUUUAGAAGUUAUUUUGUUUCAAGAAAGUCAAUUGAUUGUGGAACUUCCUACCACCUUCAGGUUAUGUUUUCAUUAGAACUACAGCCAUUUCCUAUUUAAUGUCUCUUUUCAACACCAAAAUUUGCAUUUGAUUAUGAAUAUUCAACUUAAUGAAGUUCCCAUUCCAAAUUUGUCUUUCUAUUCUGUUUGUGUUUGAUCACCUUCCUACUAUUUUAUUUCAUCAAAAACUAAAUAUUUAUUCGUUCAAAAAAAAACACUAAACAUUUCACCCAAAAUUUAAAAACAAAUUCAGACUUCUAAUUCCCUCCACAUUACAUUGCUAAUAGAAAUCAUUACGUCACGUCCACCCUACAAAGAAUUAUUUCAUUUGGUAUUCUAUACAUUCAACUAAACUAAGACUAAAUAUUUAUAUAUAUUUUCUGGCUUUUACCUAUAACUAAAUAUUUCACCCAUAAUUUAAAAAAAAUACAGAAUUCUACUUUCUCUAAACCCCAACCAAUCAUUGACAUGACUUUGUUAAUAAUAGAAAUCAUAAAAUCUUAAACUAUUAAUGUUUUCAAAUUUUGUUUAAAAAUAAAAAUUGGAAUUGAAAUAAUACCUUUGUAGUUUGAACAUCCCAAGAAAUUCUUCCCUUUACUCCAAGCCCCAAGGUCUAUUAGAACUACAUAUUGGUGCUUUCUUUCCACAAUGACAAAUCGUUCCAUGAUUUAGAACUUUCGGUGAAAAUUUUCUACAAUUUCAAAAGAAAAAGAAAAAUGAAGAUUUGAAUGAGACAAUAAGGGCUUAGAUUGAAUUUCAAACCCUAAACAGAAAAGGGUACUGAACGACAGAGAGAGGCAACAGUGGUAACUCUUUUUUGCCGCUUCAGCAAAUUAAAAAAUAACGAUAAAUUUCAAAUAUUAUUUUGUUAACCUGGUCUUUUAAGAAAAUAUACAAACAUAUACGCGGCUUCUCCUUAUUUUUUUUAAGACGUCCGUUUACUUUUGUACCAAAAAAAUAUAACCUUUUUAAAUUUUAAUUACUUAAUUGAGAUAAAAAAAUGUAUAUUUUAAAGAUCAAACCAUAAAUUAAACCAAAAAUAAAUGAUAAAAUAAACACUGAUUCCCUAUUUGAAGAUAAUUUAUGUUGAUUGAAGAAUAUAUUUUUUUUUUAUUUUUUCAUAGAAAAAGCUUAAUUUUUUAAAAUCAAAUCUUUGCUUUUUCAGAUGUUAUUCUUUAGGUUGGUUGUGGCUUUUUCGAUAAUAUUCUCUAAAAUUUUUUUUUUUAAUAUCAGUCUAUAUUAUCAUGAUUUUUGUCCACUCUUUUAUGCAUUUUAUUUUGUUGACUUUGUUUUCUCCAAAAGCGGUAGUGGUUUUAAUUUUUAGUUUUUAUUUUGAGAAUCAUUGUAGCACCUCAAACCCAGCCCAGAAGUUAUGACCAGAUCCGGCAUGCCACAUCAAAAACGUUAAAAAUUUUUUUCAUUCUAAGUCCAGAAAAUCGUACUUGAUGUUCAAAAGAUUAAUUUCAUUAUAGGUUAAAAUGAAUGAAAAACUGUGCACCAGGUAGGAAACCGGAAAAGAGGUGGUGAGUCCAUCGGACUGCUUAAGUACCAAGCUCCCUUCGGAUCCAAUCCUAGACAUGCAUACCGCCAUUGCCACACCUUAACGUUAUGGAUAUUUCUAGGAAACCGAUUUUGAUUAAGUCAUUUUUAGGAAAAGUGAUUAAUUUUGGAAAAUACUUUCAUUGCGGAAGCUUUGCUUGUUGUCGUGUUAUUUUGAAAUCAAUUGUUAUUUUUGAAAACGUGCCCUAAAGCUAUCCAAUUUCAACAGUUAAAAUAAGUAAUACAUAUCUUAGUAAUACAUAUUAAAACCAUCAAAAAUAAUUAAGCGGCCUUAUUACAUUUAAAAACCCAAAACUUCAAACCUAAAUAAAAGGAUGUCCAGUUCACCAGAAGAAAAUCAAACUUUCAGAACGGGUGGCCACUCCGAAUUCCCUCACAGCUCGAAGUCCACUAUGGUUGGGGAUUUCCUGCGUGGAUGAAAAUAAAAGGGGUGAGUUUAGGGAAACUCAGUGUGUAAGGAAACCCCAUUCAAAGCCCAAGUCAUCUCAAGCCUAUUGGGCCUAAGCCCAUUCAGGUAACAGUGGUACUGGACCAGAGCCCUUUUCAGAUUACAAUAAACUGGGCCUUAGCCCCUUAUUCAGAUAACAGUAUGACCCAUAGGCCCAUUUCAAAAUACAUGCAACAUCAGUAAACAUAUGCAAGCCCAUUUGGGGAGACUACUCAACCCACCAACCACUACACUCCACCCGUACCAGCCAUACACUCCAUGUGGAGAAUAGCUCAACCUACCCAGCCCAACACUCCACAGUUGCAGCCUUGCUGCUCAGUUAACAGUAAAUUGAGGCAAAGCCUCCAGUACGUGGACAAGCCACUUUCAGUACUUCCUCCGUCAAUAUCCCAGUCCCAUGCCUCAGAUAAUAGCAACAUGGCAUGCAAUAAAUAACAACAGUCAAACAUGCAUUUAAGUCAAUUUAACCCUAUGGGUAUUUCGGUAAUUUAUCUCUUAGGGGUAAAACUGUAAAUCUUCCACUUUUAAAGGUAUUUUAGUAAGUUAUAUAUUUUAGGGUUUUUAAUGCAUAUUCCUACUUUUCACGUACUAACAGAAUCACGUACCGAGGGUUCUUACCGAAUUGGGCCAUUUGGCCCAUCAUUCCAAUUUUGGCCCAUUAAGCCCAAAAAUAUCGAGGGCACAGAAAUCAUGCACUUUGCAGUCCAAACAUUGCAGCUUACCAAAAACAUAAAUCGAUUUACCUCACGAGCAUUCGCACACUCGCAAAUCUACAAAAUACCAGUUUUCGGCAUUUCGGUAUUUCGGCUUUUGCCGAUCUAGACUAAGAAAGAGGGUGUUAGUUACACACCUGUUUGCGACGAUAUGCUGACGAGAUCCACACACGAACUGCCUACAAUUGAAUUACUAACACGUUAAUCUAACUAUUCAAAUACAAAAUACGUAUUAACCCCUUACAAUAUUCGGCCAACCACACCUACAGAUCAUAGUAAGCUUAUAAGAAAACAAUAAGCAACUCAUUAACAAAUUUUUGUCAAUGUUUACCACAUAAUCAUAAUUUCACUGCAAGCUGUCUUCCUGAGCAACAGUCACUAAAUCAUUUAUAACUGGAGCUAAGAAACUCCAAAUCAAGUGCCGUUAAUUUUCCUUGAAAAUGGACUCAUAUAUCUUCUAUCCAUAAAAUUUUCAGAAUUUUUGGUUUAGCCAAUCAAUACCAGAUUUUUCUCAAAGUUUCCCAUGUUUCACUGUUUGACUAAUCUGACCACUCUUCAUUACGAAUCAAAUUUCUCAUUGUACAGAAUUUAAAAUAUGUUCUCGUUUAUUCCAUUUAAAACUAGACUCAUUAAGCUUUAAUUACAUAAUUUAUACAGCUUCUAACUCAUCUCCCACAAUUUAUGGUGAUUUUCCAAAGUCAUGUUACUGCUGCUGCCCCAAGUAGAUUUAUUACCAAAUCACUCUUUCAUACACCUAUCUUGCAUGCAUGUUAUUUAAACAUGUAUAUCACCAAUCAAUCAUCACAUAUCUAUGAUUUUUACUUAAGCAUAAUCUCCAUUUCAUCAUUUUAAAGCACAACAUGUUAGCCGAUUUUUCCCUUUAGCAUCUAAGGCACAUGCAUGCUCAUUUGUUUGGCUGAACUUCACAUAUCUUCCAUUUUUCAUCAAAAAACAUGAAACAACAACCAUUUCCUUCAUUUUAAUUCAUGACCAAAUGCUCACAACACAACUAAAAAUCAAAAUAUACUUCAAGAGUUAAGGUAGAAUCAAGAAGAACUCAUGAACUUCAAAAUAGAAGCAAGGUACCAAGAACUUACCUUCAAUUUUCCUCCGCCUAAUGACCGAAUACUCAAGAGCUUUCUCCUCUCCUUUCUCUUCUCUAACUUUAGGCUAUGAUGAACAAAGAUGGACAAAACUUUGUUCUUUUCACCCCUUUUUCUUUUAAUAAAACUUCAUAUUUCAUCCAUUUAAUUCUUUAAUACAAAAGACAUGAAAUUCUUAUCAUGAAACAUUUACCUAACCCAUUAUCAUGAAACAUUUACCUAACCCAUUAUCAUGGAACAUUUACCUAACCUAUUAUGAUGGAACAUUUACCUAACCUAUUAUCAAUUUGUAUCAAUUUGUACCAUAAAUUAUGGAUAUCAAGUGCACAUUUUGUCUACAACAACAUGAUGGCUGGCCACUUCAUGUAAAAUGGGAGGUUUGUCAUGCAAAUCCUCCUAUUUUGCACUCCUAUUUAUUUGGCCACUUCAAUUUAGCCUAUACCAUUUUCAAACAUUUUCACAUAGGUUCUAUUUCAUAAUUUCACCUCCUUUUUCUUAUGGACCAAAAAUUAACUAAAAUUGUCGGGUUCUAUCAUAAGUUUGGGCUUUCUAGAGGCCCACUAACAUAAUUAAACUUAUGCCAACAUUCACAAAAUUCCCAAAAAUUGGGGCGUUACGACUCUACCCUCCUUAAAGAAAUUUCGUCCUCGAAAUUUACCUGAUCCAACUAGUUGAGGGUAUUGUUGACGCAUAGUCUCUUCUGAUUCCCAAGUAGCUUCUUCCCUUCCAUGAUUACGCCAAAGUACUUUCACUAACGGGACAGAUUUCCUUCUGAGAACCUUAACAUCUCGAGCCAAUAUUUGCACAGGCUCCUCCUCAAAGGUCAAAUCAGUCUGAACUUCAAUUUCUGCAACUGGCAGGACAUGAGCAGGGUCAGCACGAUAACGCCUUAACAUGGAGACGUGAAAAACAACGUGAAUCCUAUCUAACUCUGGAGGCAAUUCCAACUGAUAAGCCACUGGGCCUACUCGCUUCAAAACCCGAUAAGGCCCAAUGAACCGCGGACUCAACUUGCCCUUCUUAUCGAACCUUAAUAUCUUCUUCCAAGGAGAAACCUUUAAGAAGACCAUAUCACCUACUGAGUACUCAAUCUCCUUACGCUUCAAAUCUGCAUACGACUUUUGCCUAUCAGAUGUUUCUUUUAACCGGUCCCUAAUUAUUCUGACCUUAUCCUCAGUAUCAGCUACCAACUCUGGUCCAAGAAUUUGUCGCUCUCCUAGUUCAGUCCAACAACUAGGUGUAUGACACCUUCGUCCAUACAGUGCUUCAUACGGUGCCAUUCGAAUACUCACCUGGUAAUUGUUAUUGUACGUAAAUUCUGCCAACGGCAAGUAAUCCUCCCAACUACCUCGAAAAUCAAUCACGCAUCCCCUCAACAUGUCCUCCAGAAUCUGAAUAACCCUUUCCGAUUGACCAUCAGGCUGGGGAUGGAAAGCCGUACUAAAAUUCAAUCGCGUCCCCAAUGCCUCAUGUAAUUUUUUCCAAAACCGAGAUGUAAAUCUGGGAUCCCGAUCAGAAAUAAUUGAAACUGGGACUCCAUGAAGUCGCACAAUCUCCGCCACAUACAACUUGGCUAACUUUUGAAGUGAAAAGUCAGUACGAACAGGUAUAAAAUGGGUCGAUUUGGUCAACCUAUCCACAAUCACCCACACCGAGUCUUUUUUUGAUGGUGUCAAAGGCAACCCACUCACAAAGUCCAUGGUUACCCUCUCCCACUUCUAAAGUGGUAUCUUCACCGGCUGUAAUAGUCCAGAAAGUAAUUGAUGCUCAGCUUUCACUUGUUGGCAUGUCAGACAUUUUCCUACAAACUCCGUUACUUCUCGCUUAAGUCCAGGCCACCAGUACAAUUCUCGCAAGUCGUGAUACAACUUAUUCCCUCCAGGAUGCAUUGCACAUAGUCCCCCAUGAGCUUCCUUCAAUAUUGUCUGCCUUAAAUUAGAGUCCCUCGGAACACAAAUUCUUCCUCGGAAUCACAGAACUCCAUCACCAUUUAAACCAAACUCAGAAGUUUCCCCUUCCUUAACUUGUUGAAAACGAGCAACCAAAGACUCAUCUUCCAACUGCUUUUCCUUAAUCUGGUCCACCCAGGUUGGCCUUACUUGCAAUUCAGCCAACAAACUGCCAUCAUCAUACAGACUCAAACGAGCAAACAUUGCUCUCAGAUCAGAUACGGUUCUAUGACUUAAAGCAUCGGCUACCACAUUAGCCUUGCCUGGUGAUACUCAAUCGAAUAGUCAUAAUCCUUAAGCAACUCAAUCCAUCUCCUUUGCCUAAGGUUCAGCUCCUUCUGAAUUAACAAAUGCUUAAGACCCUUGUGGUCUGUAUAUAUAAUACACCUCUCCCCGUACAAGUAAUGUCUCCAAAUCUUAAGUGCAAAUAUCACUGCUGCCAACUCCAAAUCAUGAGUAAGAUAGUUCCCUUCGUGAGGUUUAAGCUGUCGUGAUGCAUAUACAACCACCUUACCCUCCUGCAUUAAUACGCAGCCCAAACCCACGUGUGAUGCGUUACUGUACACAGUAAAAUCCUUCCCAGACUCUGGUUGAAUCAACACAGGUGCUUCAGUCAAAACUUUCUUCAACUUCUCAAAAGCUUCCUGCUGCUUCUUAGUCCAUACAAACGGUUUUCCUUUCCUUAUGAGUUUUGUCAGAGGUGCUGCCAUCACAGAAACACCUUCUACAAACCUUCUGUAGUAUCCUACCAGUCCUGGGAAACUCCGUAUUUCCGACACUGACCUAGACGGCUUCCAUUCCAAAAUCGCUUCAAUUUUCCGAGGGUCCACCUUAAUCUCCUCAGCAGAGACCACAUGUCCUAAGAAGGUUACCUCCCUCAACCAAAAUUCACACUUGCUGAACUUCGCAAAGAGUUCCUUCUCCCUUAACACUUCCAGCACUAUACAGAGAUGCUCAUCAUGUUUUGCUUCAGUUUCAGAAUAUACCAGGAUAUCAUCAAUAAAGACGACUAUGAACUAAUCCAAACAUGGUUGGAAAACACGAUUCAUCAGAUCCAUAAACGCUACAGGAGCGUUCGUCAGUCCAAAUGGCAUAACUAGAAACUCAUAAUGACCAUACCGAGUCCUGAAUACCGUCUUAUGGAUAUCUGCCUCCUUGACCCUUAACUGAUGAUAUCCAGAUCGGAGGUCGAUCUUGGAAAAUAUAGAAGCUCCUCUAAGCUGGUCGAACAGAUCGUCAAUCAUUGGCAGUGGAUACUUAUUCUUAAUCGUCAGUUUGUUCAACUGGAGAUAAUCAAUACACAUCCGCAUCGUACCAUCCUUCUUUUUCACGAAUAGCACCGGUGCUCCCCAUGGAGACACGCUUGGCCUAAUGAAGCCCUUAUCCAACAACUCUUGAAUUUGAGCCUUUAACUCCACUAACUCCUUCGGUGCCAUCCUAUACGGUGCGAUGGACACGGGCGCCAUUCCAGGCAACAAAUCUAUUCCAAACUCAACUUCUCGAUUCAGAGGCAAUCUUGGAAGCUCCUUCAGAAAAACAUCUUGGAACUCCUUUACGGUCCUAACCUUAUCCACUGUCAGUCCCUCUUCUUCCGACUGACUUACAAAUUCCAAAUAGGUCUCACAACCUUUCCGAAUCCACUUCUCGACUCUUAAUGCCGAAACCACAUUGAACAAAUAAUCCAUUCGCUCACCUAUCACCAUAACCUCCUCAUCCUUUGUGGUCCUUAACACCAUUAGUUUAACAGCACAAUACAGAGUCACUUUAUGCUUAACAAGCCAGUCCAUUCCCAAAAUGAGAUCAAACUCUCUGAACGGUAACUCCAUCAGAUCUCCAGGGAAAAUCUUACCUUGAGUUUCUAAGGGUACAUCCCUAUACAGUUUGUCUACCUUAACCGAGUGACUCAAAUUACUUAGUACAGAUACCCCACUCACAAUCUCCUCAGAACAGUCCAAGUUGUCCAUAAUCCAUUCUGUGGCCUCCAACCAAUAUUCUGCCACAUUCGGGGCUAUACCAGACGCACCCCUAAAGAUCUCCGCUCCAUUGGCCCGGAGUCGUUCAGAAAUUGAUCCUUGAAUUUCGUUGCCCGAACUUGCCCCGGUAACCCUUUCCAGAACACAAAGCAUUGCCUGUGACAGGGCAUCAUCCUCGGCACCGCGGUCAUGAGACUCUACCUCUGUUGUCGGUGGUACCGAUGCAUCCACCGCCGGCAUAUGUCUCGAAGACGAAGAUCUCGCUCGAGCACUUCCUCGGCUCUGUCCACGGCCUCUUCCACGAACGGCUCUUGUACUCAUAUCGUAUUAUCUUGAUUACGAAUUUUUAUGCAUUAAUUCAAUAUUCCAGUGUUUAUUACAGAUGUUUUAUGAAACAGACAGUAGUUCAGAGUUUGUUUUCGCAGAAUUGAAGUCUAGCUACAGUUUCAGUCUCUUAUCAGAUUUUCCUAUGGUUUCAGUAUCAUCCUAUCUAGAGUAUCCUAGCAGGAUUUCAGUACAGACAGAUAAGUUAGAAAAAUAUUCAGAAGAGUUUAGAGUAAUACUUACAGGCUUGAGCCGGAGAUUCGGAAUGCCACCUUCUAAAGAUCUAAAUUUUGAAAAUCGAGCUUUUCGCAUUCUUUAUAAAAUUUUCGUUUUCAAAAAUCUUUGUUUUUGUAAACCCAUUCCACAGCCGAGCUGUUGCAACCUGGUUCUGAUACCACUAAAUGUAGCACCCCAAACCCAGCCCAGAAGUUAUGGCCAGAUCCGGCAUGCCACAUCAAAAACGUUAAAAAAAUUUUCCAUUCUAAGUCCAGAAAAUCGUACUUGAUGUUCAAAAGAUUAAUUUCAUUAUAGGUUAAAAUGAAUGAAAAACUGUGCACCAGGUAGGAAACCGGAAAAGAGGUGGUGAGUCCAUCGGACUGCUUAAGUACCAAGCUCCCUUCGGAUCCAAUCCUAGACAUGCAUACCGUCAUUGCCACACCUUAACGUCAUGGAUAUUUCUAGGAAACCGAUUUUGAUUAAGUCAUUUUUAGGAAAAGUGAUUAAUUUUGGAAAAUACUUUCAUUGCGGAAGCUUUGCUUGUUGUCGUGUUAUUUUGAAAUCAAUUGUUGUUUUUGAAAACGCGCCCUAAAGCUAUCCAAUUUCAACAGUUAAAAUAAGUAAUACCUAUCUUAGUAAUACAUAUUAAAACCAUCAAAAAUAAUUAAGCGGCCUUAUUACAUUUAAAAACCCAAAACUUCAAACGUAAAUAACAGGAUGUCCAGUUCACCAGAAAAAAAUCAAACUUUCAGAACGGGUGGCCACUCCGAAUUCCCUCACAGCUCCAAGCCCACUAUUGUUGGGGAUUUCCUGCGUGGAUGAAAAUAAAAGGGGUGAGUUUGGGGAAACUCAGUGUGUAAAGAAAACCCAUUCAAAGCCCAAGUCAGCUCAAGCCUAUUGGGCCUAAGCCCAUUCAGGUAACAGUGGUACUGGACCAGAGCCCUUUUCAGAUUACAAUAAACUGGGCCUUAGCCCCUUAUUCAGAUAACAGUAUGGCCCAUAGGCCCAUUUCAAAAUACAUGCAACAUCAGUAAACAUAUGCAAGCCCAUUUGGGGAGACUACUCAACCCACCAACCACUACACUCCACCCGUACCAGCCAUACACUCUAUGUGGAGAAUAGCUCAACCUACCCAGCCCAACACUCCACAGUUGCAGCCUUGCUGCUCAGUUAACAGUAAAUUGAGGCAAAGCCUCCAGUACGUGGACAAGCCACUUUCAGUACUUCCUCCGUCAAUAUCCCAGUCCCAUGCCUCAGAUAAUAGCAACAUGGCAUGCAAUAAAUAACAACAGUCAAACAUGCAUUUAAGUCAAUUUAACCCUAUGGGUAUUUCGGUAAUUUAUCUCCUAGGGGUAAAACUGUAAAUUUUCCACUUUUAAAGGUAUUUUAGUAAUUUAUAUAUUUUAGGGUUUUUCAUGCAUAUUCCUACUUUUCACGUACUAACAGAAUCACGUACCGAGGGUUCUUACUGAAUUGGGCCAUUUGGCCCAUCAUUCCAAUUUUGGCCUAUUAAGCCCAAAAAUAUCGAGGGCACAGAAAUCAUGCACUUUGCAGUCCAAACAUUGCAGCUUACCAAAAACAUAAAUCGAUUUACCUCACGAGCAUUCGCACACUCGCAAAUCUACAAAAUAUCGGUUUUCGGCAUUUCGGCAUUUCGGCUUUUGCCGAUCUAGACUAAGAAAGAGGGUUUUAGUUACACACCUGUUUGCGACGAUAUGCUGACGAGAUCCACACACGAACUGCCUACAAUUGGAUUACUAACACGUUAAUCUAACUAUUCAAAUACAAACUACGUAUUAACCCCUUACAAUAUUCGGCCAACCACACCUACAGAUCAUAGUAAGCUUAUAAGAAAACAAUAAGCAACUCAUUAACAAAUUUUUGUCAAUGUUUACCACAUAAUCAUAAUUUCACUGCAAGCUGUCUUCCUGAGCAACAGACACUAAAUCAUUUAUAACUGGAUCUACGAAACUCCAAAUCAAGUGCCGUUAAUUUUCCUUGAAAAUAGACUCAUAUAUAUUCUAUCCAUAAAAUUUUCAGAAUUUUUGGUUUAGCCAAUCAAUACCAGAUUUUUCUCAAAGUUUCCCAUGUUUCACUGUUUGACUAAUCUGACCACUCUUCAUUACGAAUCAAAUUUCUCAUUGUACAGAAUUUAAAAUAUGUUCUCGUUUAUUCCAUUUAAAACUAGACUCAUUAAGCUUUAAUUACAUAAUUUAUGCAGCUUCUAACUCAUCUCCCACAAUUUAUGGUGAUUUUCCAAAGUCAUGUUACUGCUGCUGUCCCAAGCAGAUUUAUUACCAAAUCACUCUUUCAUACACCUAUCUUGCAUGCAUGUUAUUUAAACAUUUAUAUCACCAAUCAAUCAUCACAUAUCUAUGAUUUUUACUUAAGCAUAAUCUCCAUUUCAUCAUUUUAAAGCACAACAUGUUAGCCGAUUUUUCCCUUUAGCAUCUAAGGCACAUGCAUGCUCAUUUGUUUGGCUGAACUUCACAUAUCUUCCAUUUUUCAUCAAAAGAACAUGAAACAACAACCAUUUCCUUCAUUUUAAUUCAUAACCAAAUGCUCGCAACACAACUAAAAAUCAAAAUAUACUUCAAGAGUUAAGGUAGAAUCAAGAAGAACUCAUGAACCUCAAAAUAGAAGCAAGGUACCAAGAACUUACCUUCAAUUUUCCUCCGCCUAAUGACCGAAUACUCAAGAGCUUUCUCCUCUCCUUUCUCUUCUCUAACUUUAGGCUAUGAUGAACAAAGAUGGACAAAACUUUGUUCUUUUCACCCCUUUUCUUUUAAUAAAACUUCAUAUUUCAUCCAUUUAAUUCUUUAAUACAAAAGACAUGAAAUUCUUAUCAUGAAACAUUUACCUAACCCAUUAUCAUGAAAAAUUUACCUAACCCAUUAUCAUGGAACAUUUACCUAACCUAUUAUGAUGAAACAUUUACC